rnacentral:rRNA from 1 species
UAAUACGAAGGUGGCUAGCGUUGUUCGGAUUUAUUGGGCGUAAAGGGUCCGCAGGCGGUUUGAUAAGUCAGGUGUGAAAUCCAACAGCUUAACUGUUGACACGCAUUUGAUACUGUCAGACUAGAGUAUGAGAGGGGUGAGAGGAAUUUCCAGUGUAGGGGUGAAAUCCGUAGAUAUUGGAAAGAACACCGGCCGCGAAGGCGUUUCACUGGCUCAUUACUGACGCUCAGGGACGAAAGCUAGGGGAGCAAACGGGAUUAGAUACCCCGGUAGUCCUAGCUGUAAACGAUGAUCACUAGGUGUUGGGAGGGUUAAACCUUUCGGUGCCGCAGCUUACGCAUUAAGUGAUCCGCCUGGGGAGUACGGUCGCAAGGCUG